UGAACGCUGGCGGCGUGCCUAAUACAUGCAAGUCGAGCGAACAGAUGAGGAGCUUGCUCCUCUGACGUUAGCGGCGGACGGGUGAGUAACACGUGGAUAACCUACCUAUAAGACUGGGAUAACUUCGGGAAACCGGAGCUAAUACCGGAUAAUAUAUUGAACCGCAUGGUUCAAUAGUGAAAGACGGUUUUGCUGUCACUUAUAGAUGGAUCCGCGCCGCAUUAGCUAGUUGGUAAGGUAACGGCUUACCAAGGCAACGAUGCGUAGCCGUCCUGAGAGGGUGAUCGGCCACACUGGAACUGAGACACGGUCCAGACUCCUACGGGAGGCAGCAGUAGGGAAUCUUCCGCAAUGGGCGAAAGCCUGACGGAGCAACGCCGCGUGAGUGAUGAAGGUCUUCGGAUCGUAAAACUCUGUUAUUAGGGAAGAACAAAUGUGUAAGUAACUAUGCACGUCUUGACGGUACCUAAUCAGAAAGCCACGGCUAACUACGUG
rnacentral:rRNA from 1 species